AAAUCCCACUUGGUCAUGAUGAAUUAUCUUUUUAAUAUAUUGUUGAAUUCAGGUUGCUGGUAUUUUCUUGAGGAUUUUUGCAUCAGUGUUCAUCAGAGGUCUUGGCCUAUAGUUUUCUUUUUUUGCUGUGUCUUUGUCCUGUUUUGGUAUCAGGGUAAUAUUGGCCUCAUAGAAUGAGUUUGAUAGUAUUCCCUACUCCUCUAUUUUUCAGAAUAGUUUUAGUAGGAUUGGCAUUAGUUCUUCUUUCAAUGUUUGGUAAAAUUCAGUAAUGAAGCCACUAGGUCCUGGGCUUUUCUUUACCGGGAGAACUUUAUUCUGGCUUCUGUCUCAUUAUCUGUUAUUGGUUUGUUAAGGUUUUGGAUUUCUUCAUGGUUCAAUCUUGGUAGGUUGUAUGUGUCCAAGAAUUGUCAAUCUCCUCUAGAUUUUCCUAUUUCUUGGCAUAUAGCUGCUCAUAGUAGCCACUAAUUAUCCUUUGAAUUUCUGUAGUAUCAGUUCUAAUGUCUUCUUUUUCAUUAUUGACUUUUAUUUAUUUGGAUCUUCCCUCUUUUUUUCUUAGUUAGUCUGGCUAAAGGUUUGUCAAUUUUGUUUAUCUUUUCAAAAAUCUCAUUUUUUGUUUUGUUCAUCUUUUUGUAUUGUUUUUUACAUUUCAGUUUCAUUUAUUUCUGCCCUGAUUUUUAUUAUUUCUUUUCUUCUACUAAUUUUAUCUUCAGUUUGUUUUUGCUUUUAGUACUGCUUUGGCUAUAUCCCACAGGUUUUGGUAUGUUGUGUUUCCAUUAUCAUUUGUUUCAAGAAUUUUUUCAAUCUCCUCCUUAAUUUCUUCAUUAACUCAUUGGUCAUUCAGGAA
rnacentral:lncRNA from 1 species